UACGUAGGGUCCGAGCGUUAAUCGGAAUUACUGGGCGUAAAGCGUGCGCAGGCGGUUUUGUAAGCCAGAUGUGAAAUCCCCGAGCUUAACUUGGGAACUGCAUUUGGGACUGCAAAGCUGGAGUACGGCAGAGGGAGGUGGAAUUCCACGUGUAGCAGUGAAAUGCGUAGAGAUGUGGAGGAACACCGAUGGCGAAGGCAGCCUCCUGGGCUAGUACUGACGCUCAUGCACGAAAGCGUGGGGAGCAAACAGG
rnacentral:rRNA from 1 species